UGAACCCCGGCCCGAAUUUCUUACGGGAGGCAGCAGUGGGGAAUAUUGGACAAUGGGCGAAAGCCUGAUCCAAGCCAUGCCGCGUGUGUGAAGAAGGCCCUUCGGGUUGUAAAGCACUUUCAGUGAGGAAGAAGGCUUGUCGGUUAAUACCCGGCAGGAAGGACAUCACUCACCAGAAGAAGCCCCGGCUAACUCCGUGCCAGCAGCCGCGGUAAUACGGAGGGGGCAAGCGUUAAUCGGAAUUACUGGGCGUAAAGCGUGCGUAGGCGGCUUGGUAAGCCGGUUGUGAAAGCCCCGGGCUCAACCUGGGAAUGGCAUCCGGAACUGUCAGGCUAGAGUGCAGGAGAGGAAGGUAGAAUUCCCGGUGUAGCGGUGAAAUGCGUAGAGAUCGGGAGGAAUACCAGUGGCGAAGGCGGCCUUCUGGACUGACACUGACGCUGAGGUACGAAAGCGUGGGUAGCAAACAGGAUUAGAUACCCUGGUAGUCCACGCCGUAAACGAUGUCGACUAGCCGUUGGGGUCCUUGAGACCUUUGUGGCGCAGUUAACGCACUAAGUCGACCGCCUGGGGAGUACGGCCGCAAGGUUAAAACUCAAAUGAAUUGACGGGGGCCCGCACAAGCGGUGGAGCAUGUGGUUUAAUUCGAUGCAACGCGAAGAACCUUACCUACCCUUGACAUCGUGCGAACUUGGUAGAGAUACCUUGGUGCCUUCGGGAGCGCACAGACAGGUGCUGCAUGGCUGUCGUCAGCUCGUGUUGUGAAAUGUUGGGUUAAGUCCCGUAACGAGCGCAACCCUUAUCCUUAUUUGCCAGCGAUCCGGUCGGGAACUCUAAGGAGACUGCCGGUGACAAACCGGAGGAAGGUGGGGACGACGUCAAGUCAUCAUGGCCCUUACGGGUAGGGCUACACACGUGCUACAAUGGCCGAUACAAUGGGUCGCAAAGCGGCGACGUGGCGCUAAUCCCAUAAAGUCGGUCUCAGUCCGGAUCGGAGUCUGCAACUCGACUCCGUGAAGUCGGAAUCGCUAGUAAUCGUGCAUCAGAAUGGCACGGUGAAUACGUUCCCGGGCCUUGUACACACCGCCCGUCACACCAUGGGAGUGGACUGCACCAGAAAGUGGUUAGCCUAACUUCGGGAGGGCGAUACAUUUUUUU
rnacentral:rRNA from 1 species